AGAAUCAACGCUGGCGGCGUGCCUAACACAUGCAAGUCGAACGAGAAAGUGGAGCAAUCCAUGAGUAAAGUGGCGACCGGGUGAGUAACACGUGACUAACCUACCUUCGAGUGGGGGAUAACCUCGGGAAACCGGGGCUAAUACCGCAUAAUGCCUUCGGGUUAAAGGAGCAAUUCGCUUGAAGAGGGGGUCGCGGCUGAUUAGCUAGUUGGCGGGGUAACGGCCCACCAAGGCGAUGAUCGGUAGCCGGCCUGAGAGGGCGCACGGCCACACUGGAACUGAAACACGGUCCAGACUCCUACGGGAGGCAGCAGUGGGAAUUUGCGCAAUGGGGGAAACCCUGACGCAGCAACGCCGCGUGGAGGAUGAAGUCCCUUGGGACGUAAACUCCUUUCGAUCGGGACGAUGAUGACGGUACCGGAAGAAGAAGCACCGGCUAACUCUGUGCCAGCAGCCGC
rnacentral:rRNA from 1 species